AGCGAACGCUGGCGGCAGGCCUAACACAUGCAAGUCGAACGAACUCUUCGGAGUUAGUGGCGGACGGGUGAGUAACACGUGGGAACGUGCCUUUAGGUUCGGAAUAACUCAGGGAAACUUGUGCUAAUACCGAAUGUGCCCUUCGGCGGAAAGAUUUAUCGCCUUUAGAGCGGCCCGCGUCUGAUUAGCUAGUUGGUGAGGUAAAGGCUCACCAAGGCGACGAUCAGUAGCUGGUCUGAGAGGAUGAUCAGCCACAUUGGGACUGAGACACGGCCCAAACUCCUACGGGAGGCAGCAGUGGGGAAUCUUGCGCAAUGGGCGAAAGCCUGACGCAGCCAUGCCGCGUGAAUGAUGAAGGUCUUAGGAUUGUAAAAUUCUUUCACCGGGGACGAUAAUGACGGUACCCGGAGAAGAAGCCCCGGCUAACUUCGUG
rnacentral:rRNA from 1 species